rnacentral:rRNA from 1 species
UACGGAGGGUGCGAGCGUUGUCCGGAAUCACUGGGCGUAAAGGGCGCGUAGGCGGCGCGGGCAGUCAACGGUGAAAGCUUGGGGCUCAACCCCGAGUCGGCCGUCGAUACUCCCGUGCUUGAGCACUGUAGAGGCAGGUGGAAUUCCGGGUGUAGCGGUGGAAUGCGUAGAGAUCCGGAAGAACACCGGUGGCGAAGGCGGGUCUCUGGGCAGUAACUGACGCUGAGGAGCGAAAGCGUGGGGAGCGAACAGG